CCUUUGUGCUCUUGUGCCCUUCCACUAUGAGAGGACACAGUGUUCGUCUUCUCUGGAAGAGACAGCAUUUAAGGCACCAUCUUCGAAGUAAAGACUGGGCCCUCACCAGACACUGAACCUGCUGGCAUUUGGAUUUUGAACUUCCCAGCCUCCAUAACUGUAAGUAAUACAUUUACACUGUUUAUAAAUUACCCAGUCUGUGGAAUUUUGUUAUAGUAGCAGGACUGAACUAAGACACCCUCAUAUAUUAAUAUAUACAUCUUAAAAAUUAUGUAAUGGGAACUAUAAAGAAUAGGAGUUAAAGUCACCCUCAAUGGAAGUUCCACUCUUUUUUCUCUACACCCUAAUGCCUCCUCUCAUGUUAUCUCUGCAGUGCCUGCAUCCCACUGUGGAGACUCCUGUUGUAUUAAUAAUUAGGGCUGGGCAGACAGAGCUAAGCCUGAGGCUGGGUUGCUACUUUCUUACCCAUAUAACCUUGGGGAAAUGACCUUUCUGAGACUUCUAUUGAAGAGUCUGUAAAAGCAGAUAAUGAUAGUACUACUUCCAGGGUUGUGGUGAGAAUUCAGUGAGAUAUUGCAUGGAAAGCAUUUAGCACAAUCCUGGUCCAUGAUAAAUGUUUGAUAUUUGUUAGUAAUAAUUAUUCAAUGACUUGACGCUCCCAGUAAAGAAAAAUUAUCAAAACUUCAGAAAUAAGGCAAGAGGAUGAAUGACUGUGUGCCUUUCAAUGUCAUAGCAGAGAGCUGUCCAAUAGGCCUACCCAAGGUCAUGUGACAUUGUAGGGCAGGAACUUUGUCCGGCACAAUUGGCUAUUGAUUUGCAUCCAGUUCCCCUAAAGUUAGAUAUUAACUAACUAAGUUGCACAUGAUUUGGUCUACUAGAGGAUGCAAAUAGUUUUUGUUGAGUAGAACAGAUAACCAUAGAGGUUACGGUUAUAUUGCUUUUGUUUUUGCUUUGUUUCAUAUCUACUUUAGGAACUUGGUGGUGUCAACAUCUUGUCUCUUACUAAGUAUGUAUUCAUCUUGUGUAUCCUCUUUUGAACCAGCUUUAUCAUCCUGCUGGUUCCCUCAUUAAUUAGGUAAAUAAUCUCUGACUUACAUGCAUUAUAUACUGAGUAAAGGAGCUGUAUUCAUAUUAUCAUAGUUACAUGAUCUCCUUUAUUUCAACUUCCCCAUCAAGCUCUUGGCUACCAGGUGCCUCAGCCUACCCUGAAAUACCUCCAAGGAAGAUAAUUUCCAAACUUAUAUCCAC
rnacentral:lncRNA from 1 species